CAGUAGCCGCGGUAAUACAGAGGGUGCGAGCGUUAAUCGGAUUUACUGGGCGUAAAGCGUGUGUAGGUUGUUGUUCAAGUCAGUUGUGAAAUCCCUGGGCUCAACCUGGGAACUGCUUCUGAGACUGAACGACUAGAGUACGGUAGAGGGUGGUGGAAUUUCCGGUGUAGCGGUGAAAUGCGUAGAUAUCGGAAGGAACAUCAAUGGCGAAGGCAGCCACCUGGGCCUGUACUGACACUGAGACACGAAAGCGUGGGGAUCAAACAGGAUUAGAUACCCGUGUAGUCCCUGUCUCUUAUAC
rnacentral:rRNA from 1 species